rnacentral:rRNA from 1 species
ACUCCUACGGGAGGCAGCAGUGGGGAAUAUUGCACAAUGGGGGAAACCCUGAUGCAGCCAUGCCGCGUGUGUGAAGAAGGCCUUCGGGUUGUAAAGCACUUUCAGUAGGGAGGAAGGUAGUNUAGUUACACCUGCAUUAUUUGACGUUUACCUACAGAAGAGCACCGGCUAACUCCGGUGCCAGCAGCCGCGGUAAUACGGAGGGUGCGAGCGUUAAUCGGAAUUACUGGGCGUAAAGCGCAUGCAGGCGGCCUGUUAAGUCAGAUGUGAAAGCCCGGGGCUUAACCUCGGAAUUGCAUUUGAAACUGGCG